AACAAAGAUAAAAACGCAACGCACGUCUGUUAUGACGCGCCAGAGCCGGUAGGUAGCCCGGCCGUCUCGUCUGUGACGAGGUAAGUAACCUGCCCUCCGGGUUGUCCGUUCUUUGUUCAUAA
rnacentral:ncRNA from 1 species